rnacentral:rRNA from 1 species
UACAGAGGUCUCAAGCGUUGUUCGGAUUCAUUGGGCGUAAAGGGUGUGUAGGUGGCGCCGUAAGUCGGGUGUGAAAUUUCGGAGCUUAACUCCGGAACUGCAUUCGAUACUGCGGUGCUUGAGGACUGGAGAGGAGACUGGAAUUCAUGGUGUAGCAGUGAAAUGCGUAGAGAUCAUGAGGAAGACCAGUGGCGAAGGCGGGUCUCUGGACAGUUCCUGACACUGAGGCACGAAGGCCAGGGGAGCAAACGGG